rnacentral:rRNA from 1 species
UACGUAGGGGGCAAGCGUUGUCCGGAAUCAUUGGGCGUAAAGCGCGCGUAGGCGGCCCGGUAAGUCCGUUGUGAAAGUCCAGGGCUCAACCCUGGGAUGCCGGUCGAUACUGCCGGACUAGAGUUCGGAAGAGGCGAGUGGAAUUCCCGGUGUAGCGGUGAAAUGCGCAGAUAUCGGGAGGAACACCAAUGGCGAAGGCAGCUCGCUGGGACGUUACUGACGCUGAGACGCGAAAGCGUGGGGAGCAAACAGG